rnacentral:rRNA from 1 species
GACGAACGCUGGCGGCGUGCUUAACACAUGCAAGUCGAACGGAAAGGCCCUGCUUGCAGGGUACUCGAGUGGCGAACGGGUGAGUAACACGUGGGUGAUCUGCCCUGCACUUCGGGAUAAGCCUGGGAAACUGGGUCUAAUACCGGCUAGGAGCCAUUUUUAGUGUGAUGGUUGGAAAGUUUUUUCGGUGUAGGAUGAGCUCGCGGCCUAUCAGCUUGUUGGUGGGGUAAUGGCCUACCAAGGCGGCGACGGGUAGCCGGCCUGAGUGGGUGGACGGGCACAUUGGGAGUUGAAGGCGGGCCAGACUCCGACGGGAGGCAGCAGGGGGGAAUAUUGCACAAUGGGACGAAGCCUGAGUCAUGGAGGUCGUCUGGGGGAUGACGGCCUUCGGGUUGUAAACUCCUUUCGCUAGGGACGAAGCUUUUUGUGACGGUACCUAGAUAAGAAGCACCGGCUAACUACGUG